rnacentral:rRNA from 1 species
UACGUAGGUGGCAAGCGUUGUUCGGAAUUACUGGGCGUAAAGGGCGCGUAGGCGGCCGCCUAAGUCAGACGUGAAAUCCCUCGGCUCAACCGGGGAACUGCGUCUGAUACUGGGUGGCUUGAAUCCGGGAGAGGGAUGCGGAAUUCCAGGUGUAGCGGUGAAAUGCGUAGAUAUCGAGAGGAACACCGGUGGCGAAGGCGGCCAACUGGACGAAUACUGACGCUGAGACUCGAAAGCGUGGGGAGCAAACAGG